rnacentral:rRNA from 1 species
UACGUAGGGUGCAAGCGUUGUCCGGAAUUAUUGGGCGUAAAGAGCUCGUAGGCGGUCUGUCGCGUCGGCUGUGAAAUCCCGGGGCUCAACCCUGGGCGUGCAGUGGAUACGGGCAGGCUGGAGGCAGGCAGGGGAGAACGGAAUUCCCGGUGUAGCGGUGAAAUGCGCAGAUAUCGGGAGGAACACCGGUGGCGAAGGCGGUUCUCUGGGCCUGUGCUGACGCUGAGGAGCGAAAGCGUGGGGAGCGAACAGG